AGACAAUGGAGAGUUUGAUCCUGGCUCAGGAUGAACGCUGGCGGCGUGCCUAAUACAUGCAAGUCGAACGGGAAUCUUCGGAUUCCAGUGGCGAACGGGUGAGGAAUACAUAGGUAACCUGCCCCUCCGAGGGGGACAACAG
rnacentral:rRNA from 1 species